AAUUUUAACUGGUAGCAAAUUCUGUGCCUUGAUUGGCUGUCAAAAAACGUGAACAGCAAAUUCAACCAAUCAAGGGGCAGAUUUUGCUGUCGAUCAUGAUUACGAUGAAUAUGUUUUUCUUACACAAUCGGGGGAC